UUAUGCCCAGUUUGUGUUCUGUGAUGUUUACCAAGGCUUCAUGCGUAUCUUGUCCAACCCUAAACACUAUGGCAUCAAGGAAACAAGAGGAGCAUGUUGUGGAAUAGGGUGGCAUGGAGCAGCAUCGGGGUGCGACACCAUGGAGAUGGUUUGCAACCAAAGUACAGCUCAUGUAAUCCUUCUAAGGUCGUCAAUUAUCUGCUGGCCGACUCUGCCUGGUUCGGUCAUCCAUUGGGUGACAUCUUUCAUCCCUUGAGCGUCCGAGCACUGGUGAACAUAGCUUCAGCAGCAGCAGCAGCAGCAGGUGUUCUGGCAACAACAGUUAUCGAUUACAAGCUAGAAGCAGCAGCAGCAGUUCUGGCAGAAGUAGAAAGCAGCAAUUCUGGCAGCAGCCAGUUGAAACAAGAACAAAACCAAGCCAGCCUAAAGAGUGUUUAUUUUCACCAGUUGCUGGACUUUCUUGAAGUUCUCUGCCUUAACUGUGACUAUCACCGUUGGUAAUGCAUCCCAUCUUUGUAUUGAAAGUCCUAUCUUGAUUUGUCAUAGAUUUGAUUUCUAACAUCUUCCAUUUUUAUAUCCAGGAUAGAGAUAUUUACUUAAACUUUUAUGUUUAAAGUGUAGUUAGGUUAUCAACAUGUUGGUUGAUCUAUGGUGAAUUUGCCUUUUAUUGGGUUGUAAACUGUUUUGACAGGUAUAUAUUAAUGUAUUAUAACAUUCCCGGUAUUGGGGAGGGUCAAAUUACAAAGGAAAUAUUGUCAAAA